rnacentral:rRNA from 1 species
AGCGAAUAGAUACCCUGGUAGUCCCAGCUGUAAACGAUGCAGACUCGGUGAUGAGUUGGCUUAUUGCUAAACUCAGUGCCGCAGGGAAGCCGUUAAGUUUGCCGCCUGGGGAGUACGGUCGCAAGACUGAAACUUAAAGGAAUUGGCGGGGAGCACCACAAGGGUGAAAGCCUGCGGUUCAAUUGGAGUCAACGCCGGAAAUCUUACCGGGGGUCGGACAGCAGAGUGAAGGUCAAGCUGAAGACUUUACCAGACAAGCUGAGAGGAGGUGCAUGGCCGUCGCCAGCUCGUGCCGUGAGGUGUCCUGUUAAGUCAGGUAACGAGCGAGAUCCCUGCCUCUAGUUGCUACCAUUAUUCUCAGGAGUAGUGGAGCUAAUUAGAGGGACCGCCGUCGCUGAGACGGAGGAAGGUGGGGGCUACGGCAGGUCAGUAUGCCCCGGAAACCC